rnacentral:misc_RNA from 1 species
CUGAGUUGUCAACACGAGUUGUUGCUGGUCCUCAAACAGGGGGCAUGUGCACGCUCUGUUCACACAUCCACUCACACCUGUGCACCCUCCGUAGUUCUGUGGUCUGGGGGACACACUGUCUUCCUCCUGUAGUUCUGCGUCUUUACACACACACCGUAGUGAAGUCUUAUGGAAUGUGCAUCGCGUUUAACGCAAUACAAUA